rnacentral:lncRNA from 1 species
UAGCUCAUCAUUUCAUUGUAGGGAUUCGAAUUGAAAAGGGAUAGCAUGUUUUUAUUAUUUACAAAUAAAUCAAUAACCCUUUACUUCUUGUUCAUCGUCUGUUGUCUCUCACGGAUCAAUGGAAACGGAGCCUUGAAUUGUGAUGGAAGAUUGGAUGCUGCAAAUUAUUUUGGAUCAAAGUUGUUGAUAAAUAAAGGUUUGAAUGAUGCUUCAAAAGAUGAAGUGAUGAAGCGCUUUAUACGGCGACGAAGAGUUCUUCAAGAAUCAGCCACAAUCCCAGGAGAAUGGAAGCUUGACCGAUCCACUCGCCGCACGGUUGGAGGAGAGCACUUCCUUUGGAAGACAAGACUUGGGAAAAGAAGAAUUUAAAAAACUCCUUGCAUUACGUGUAUCUGUAAAAUAUUAUUUUUAUUUUAGUAUCUGAUAUUUUUUCAGUUAAGUGUGGUUAUAUGUUUAAAUCAUUUAAAUAUUCAAAACAUUAAUUUAAAAAAAUACCUUACGGCUUAAUGAGA